CACGUAGGGCGCGAGCGUUGUCCGGAAUUAUUGGGCGUAAAGAGCUCGUAGGCGGCCUGUUGCGUCCGCUGUGAAAGCCCGGGGCUUAACCCCGGGUCGGCAGUGGAUACGGGCAGGCUAGAGGUAGGCAGGGGAGAAUGGAAUUCCCGGUGUAGCGGUGAAAUGCGCAGAUAUCGGGAGGAACACCGGUGGCGAAGGCGGUUCGCUGGGCCGUCCCUGACGCUGAGGCGCGAAAGCGUGGGGAGCGAACAGG
rnacentral:rRNA from 1 species